UUUUUUUUUCUUCUUUUUUUUUUUUUUCUUCACCGCAGUUUGGCAUGUGGAAGUUCCCAGGCUAGGGGCUGAAUCAGAGCUGUAGCUGCUGGCCUACACUACAGCCACAGCAACACAGGAUCCAAGCCACUUCUGUGACCUACACCAUGGUUCACGGCAACACUGGAUCCUUAACCCACUGAGCCAGGCCAGGUCUCGAGGCCACAUCCUCAUGGACUAGUCAGGUUCAUUACCACCGAGCCACAAUAGGAACUCCAGUAAGUAAAUAUUUUAUUUAUUUAUUUAUGUAUUUAUUUUGUCUUUUCUAGGGCCGCACCCACAGCACAUGGAGAUUCCCAGGCUAGGGAUAUAAUCAGAGCUGUAGCUGCCAGCCCACACCAGAGCCACAGCAACGUGGAAUCCGAGCCGUGUCUGCGACCUACACCACAGCUCACAGCAACACGGGAUCCUUAAUUCACUGAGCGAGGCCAAGGGAUCGAACCCACCACCUCAUUGUUCCUAGUCGGAUUCGUUAACCACUGAGCCAUAAUGGGAGCUCCUGUAAAUAUUUUAUAUUUGGCUUUUAAAAAUAAAUAAUUAAGUAAUUAUCCCAGAAAAGUUAACUCCCAUGUAAAACUUUAUUUCCAUAAGUACCAUGAGUAAAUUCACCUCUUGAUACUGUUUAAAAAAAAAGAAAAGAAAAGAAAGAAAGAAAUGGUACUAUGAUCCACCCACUUCUCCAGCCAUAAAGUUAAGUGUUAUCUAAGACCCUCUCUUAUCCCUUAAUAAGUAUUGUUGAUUCUUUCCACUAAACCUCUCAAAUAUACCCCUUAUCCUGAAACUCUACCUGGUACUGCCCAAGUUCAAAUACUCACCAUCUUUUGUUUGAACUGUUACAAUAGCUUCCAUUUCAAUCUCACUGUCUAUAAUCUUCACCUGUCCUAUUUAUCCUCUAAUCCAGACUACCCUUUCAAACACUUAAAUCUUAAUUUCCUUCUCUACAUUUUAAUACCCAUCCAUCUUCUAUAAGCAGUGAUUCUCAAGUCUAGUAAGGUAAUGUCUUCUGGUAAAUUUUAAAAAAAUCUCAUGUAUUAAUUUCCCAUUGCUGCAAAUCAGCACAAUCACAAGUACAAAUUACCACAAACUUAAAUGGUUAAAAACAGUACGAAUGUAGUAUCUUACAGUUCUGGAGGCCAGAAAUCUGAAGUUGGGUUUCUCUAGGCUAAAAUCAAGGUGUCGCAGGACUGCUUUCCUCCUGGCAAGUCUAAGGAAGAAUCCACCUCCCUGCCUUUUCCAGUUUCCAGAGCUACCACAUUUCUUGGCUUGCGGCCCCUCUGUUUUCAAAGCCAGCAGUGGUGGGCAGAGUUUCCCUCGUGCUGCUUGACCUUGGCUCCUAAGCUGCCAUCACAUCUCCUUCUCUGACUCUGACCCUCUUGCUUCUCUCUUCCACUUGUAAGCAUCUUGUGAUUACAUUGGCUCCACCAGUUAAGGCAGGAUCAUCUCCCCAGCCCAACAUCCUUAAUCUGCAAAUUUCCUUUUCCUGCAUGUAUUCAUUUGCCAGGGCGCCAUAACAAGCAUCACACACUGGAUAGCUUAAAAUCACACCACCUCAAGUGCUUGCUUAUUUUAAAGCCCAAACAAAGCCCAAAAGACCUCAUGACUUAGCAGUGCCAAACACAUAGCAGAUACUCAAUAAAUGAAGAGCAGAUUAAAAUAUUUAAAUGAAAACCUAAAACUAAAAUAAUCUGCUCUGGGGAGUUCCCAUCAUGGCUCAGUGGCAAUGAAUCCCAUUAGUAUCCAUGAGAAUGCAGGUUCAACCCCUGACCUCACUCAGUGGGUUAAGGAUCUAGCCUUGCUGUGAGCUGUGGUGUAGGUCAGCUGCUACAGCUCCAGUUCGACCCCUAGCCUGGGAACUUCCAUAUGCUUUGUUAGUCUUGACUGAAUGUGGACCAAGUCACCAAAAGCCAAUAGAAUUGCAUUUGCUUUGGGAGCCAGGAAGCACAGAGUUGAACUUUCCUUACAGUGCUAGUUGGAACACAAAAUGAAAACAAGUAAACUAAAACUAAGCCAUUAAAAGAAAUAAGUAAAUGUAGGAAAUGGUUAUAUCAAGUUAUGGGCUGAAUUGUGGCCCCUCAAUAUUUCAUACAUUGAAGUCCUAAUUGCUUGUACUGUGAAUGUGAUCCUUUCGAAAUAAGACCUUUAAAGAGAUAAUUAAGAUAAAAUGAGGUUAUAUGAGUAAGUUCUAAUCCAAUACCACUGGUGUCCUUAUAAGAAGAGGAGAAAAAGGACACAGACACACAGAAGGAAGACCGUAAGAAGACGGCUGUCUGCAAGCCAAGGAGAGAAAUCUCAGGAAAAAACUAACCCUGCAGAGUCUAGAUCUUAGACUUCUAGCCUCCAGAAUCACUGGGAAAUAAAUUUUUGAUGUUGAAGCAACUUGGUCUGUGGUACUUUACUAUGGUAGCCCAGGCAAAUUAAUACUUUAGUACAUUGGCUGUUUGGCCAAUGUGCUGUCAUGCUGACCUCAUCCCCAGGUGGGGUGUCCCCUCUGGCAUCAGGAUGGCUGCCAAAGAUCCUGGACUACAUCCUUCCUGGUUCACAGCCCAGUUCCAGCUAGUCCUGACAUUCACUCUGACUAGAGGGCAUAGAUCAUGUGCGGUCAUGAAAUAACACUCUGCAUUUAUAUUGAAAUUAUUUAGGGAGUUUCCUAUUGUUCAGCAGGUUAAGAACCCAACUAGUAUCCAUGAGGAUAUAGGUUUGAUCCUUGGCCUAGCUUAACCUCUUAAGGAUCCAGCAUUGCCAUGAGCUGAGGAGUAGGCCAGCAGCUGUAGCUCUGAUUUGACCCCUAGCCUGGGAACUUUCAUAUGCCACAGUGCAGCCCUAAAAAGACAAAAAAAAAA
rnacentral:lncRNA from 1 species